rnacentral:rRNA from 1 species
AUUGAAUGCUGGCGGCAUGCUUUACACAUGCAAGUCGAACGGCAGCGCGGGGCAACCUGGCGGCGAGUGGCGAACGGGUGAGUAAUAUAUCGGAACGUACCCAGAAGUGGGGGAUAACGUAGCGAAAGUUACGCUAAUACCGCAUACGAUCUACGGAUGAAAGUGGGGGACCUUCGGGCCUCAUGCUUGUGGAGCGGCCGAUAUCUGAUUAGCCAGUUGGUGAGGUAAAGGCUCACCAAGGCGACGAUCAGUAGCUGGUCUGAGAGGACGACCAGCCACACUGGGACUGAGACACGGCCCAGACUCCUACGGGAGGCAGCAGUGGGGAAUUUUGGACAAUGGGCGCAAGCCUGAUCCAGCAAUGCCGCGUGAGUGAAGAAGGCCUUCGGGUUGUAAAGCUCUUUUGUCAGGGAAGAAACGGUAGAGGCUAAUAUCCUUUGCUAAUGACGGUACCUGAAGAAUAAGCACCGGCUAACUACGUGCCAGCAGCCGCGGUAAUACGUAGGGUGCAAGCGUUAAUCGGAAUUACUGGGCGUAAAGCGUGCGCUGGCGGUUUUGUAAGUCUGUCGUGAAAGCCCCGGGCUCAACCUGGGAAUUGCGAUGGAGACUGCAAGGCUUGAAUCUGGCAGAGGGGGGUAGAAUUCCACGUGUAUCAUUGAAAUGCAUAGAGAUGUGGAGGAACACCUAUGGCGAAGGCGUCCCCCCUGUGUCAUAUUGACGCUGAUGCACGAAAUCGUGUGUAUCAUACUGAUUAUUACCCUGUUAUCCAAGGGCUAAUUCCACUGUGGAUUUCAAGCGUAUCCAUACGUCCACCUGAGGGAGGACAAAAGAAUAAAUAUUUUGUUCGCUGUGUGUGUGUUUUUACUUAUCUUGUGCCUGCGCUGUUGUGUCUGCUGUCUUGUUGCUGUUUUGUUAUGUGUGUUGCUGGUGUUGUUGUGUUUGUUUGGUUGUUGUUGUGUGUGUGCUGUGUGUGGUGUGUUGUUUUGUGUUGUGUUGUUGGUGUUGUGUGUGUGUGUGUGGUGUUGUG